rnacentral:sRNA from 1 species
GGCUCAGCAACUUGGCACAAGCGCUGCAUCAUGUUCAGCACAACCGAUUAAAGCGCGCUGUCAACGAAGAGAGCGCACUGCCCGAUAGUUCGGGAUCUGGACAAAGGCGUCCUCGCUAGGCAACUGGCGGGACGCC